AGUGAACGCUGGCGGUAGGCCUAACACAUGCAAGUCGAACGGCAGCACAGUAAGAGCUUGCUCUUACGGGUGGCGAGUGGCGGACGGGUGAGGAAUACAUCGGAAUCUACUUUUUCGUGGGGGAUAACGUAGGGAAACUUACGCUAAUACCGCAUACGACCUACGGGUGAAAGCAGGGGAUCUUCGGACCUUGCGCGAUUGAAUGAGCCGAUGUCGGAUUAGCUAGUUGGCGGGGUAAAGGCCCACCAAGGCGACGAUCCGUAGCUGGUCUGAGGGGAUGAUCAGCCACACUGGAACUGAGACACGGUCCAGACCCCUACGGGAGGCAGCAGUGGGGAAUAUUGGACAAUGGGCGCAAGCCUGAUCCAGCCAUACCGCGUGGGUGAAGAAGGCCUUCGGGUUGUAAAGCCCUUUUGUUGGGAAAGAAAAGCAGCAGGUUAAUACCCCGCUGUUCUGACGGUACCCAAAGAAUAAGCACCGGCUAACUUCGUG
rnacentral:rRNA from 1 species